UACGAAGGGGGCUAGCGUUGCUCGGAAUCACUGGGCGUAAAGGGUGCGUAGGCGGGUCUUUAAGUUAGGGGGGAAAUCCUGGAGCUCAACUCCAGAACUGCCUUUGAUACUGAAGAUCUUGAGUCCGGGAGAGGUGAGUGGAACUGCGAGUGUAGAGGUGAAAUUCGUAGAUAUUCGCAAGAACACCAGUGGCGAAGGCGGCUCACUGGCCCGGUACUGACGCUGAGGCACGAAAGCGUGGGGAGCAAACAGG
rnacentral:rRNA from 1 species